GACGAACGCUGGCGGCGCGCCUAACACAUGCAAGUCCAACGAGAGAUGAGGAGCUUGCUCUUCAAAUCGAGUGGCGAACGGGUGAGUAACGCGUGAGGAACCUGCCUCAAAGAGGGGGACAACAGUUGGAAACGACUGCUAAUACCGCAUAAGCCCACGGCUCGGCAUCGAGCAGAGGGAAAAGGAGCAAUCCGCUUUGAGAUGGCCUCGCGUCCGAUUAGCUAGUUGGUGAGGUAACGGCCCACCAAGGCGACGAUCGGUAGCCGGACUGAGAGGUUGAACGGCCACAUUGGGACUGAGACACGGCCCAGACUCCUACGGGAGGCAGCAGUGGGGAAUAUUGCACAAUGGGGGAAACCCUGAUGCAGCGACGCCGCGUGGAGGAAGAAGGUCUUCGGAUUGUAAACUCCUGUUGUUGAGGAAGAUAAUGACGGUACUCAACAAGGAAGUGACGGCUAACUACGUGCCAGCAGCCGCGGUAAAACGUAGGUCACAAGCGUUGUCCGGAAUUACUGGGUGUAAAGGGAGCGCAGGCGGGAGAACAAGUUGGAAGUGAAAUCCAUGGGCUCAACCCAUGAACUGCUUUCAAAACUGUUUUUCUUGAGUAGUGCAGAGGUAGGCGGAAUUCCCGGUCUAGCGGGUGGAAUGCGUAGAUAUCGGGAGGAACACCAGUGGCGAAGGCGGCCUACUGGGCACCAACUGACGCUGAGGCUCGAAAGUGUGGGUAGCAAACAGGAUUAGAUACCCUGGUAGUCCACACCGUAAACGAUGAUUACUAGGUGUUGGAGGAUUGACCCCUUCAGUGCCGCAGUUAACACAAUAAGUAAUCCACCUGGGGAGUACGACCGCAAGGUUGAAACUCAAAGGAAUUGACGGGGGCCCGCACAAGCAGUGGAGUAUGUGGUUUAAUUCGACGCAACGCGAAGAACCUUACCAAGUCUUGACAUCCCUUGACGAUGCUGGAAACAGUAUUUCUCUUCGGAGCAAGGAGACAGGUGGUGCAUGGUUGUCGUCAGCUCGUGUCGUGAGAUGUUGGGUUAAGUCCCGCAACGAGCGCAACCCUUAUGGUCAGUUACUACGCAAGAGGACUCUGGCCAGACUGCCGUUGACAAAACGGAGGAAGGUGGGGAUGACGUCAAAUCAUCAUGCCCUUUAUGACUUGGGCUACACACGUACUACAAUGGCGUUAAACAAAGAGAAGCAAGACCGCGAGGUGGAGCAAAACUCAGAAACAACGUCCCAGUUCGGACUGCAGGCUGCAACUCGCCUGCACGAAGUCGGAAUUGCUAGUAAUCGUGGAUCAGCAUGCCACGGUGAAUACGUUCCCGGGCCU
rnacentral:rRNA from 1 species